GUGGUGAUGUCCAUCACGUUCUAGAGGUAGAGAGAAAGAAAGAGAGAGAGUCCCAUAUCGUGGCAUAGUCUGUGUCAGUCCGGUUGCCUACCUCGGGCGCUGCUGAGAGCCACCCUCGCUCGUGUGGCGGACUCGCGUCCUCCCCCUCUCCCUUCUUUCUCGCACUCGUUCGUUCGCUCGCUCGCUCGCUUGCUCGCUCUCUCUCUUUCUCUGUUUCUCUAUGUCUCUCGCGCGCGCAGAGACCAAAGCCGCUCGUUUAUAUCUUCCAACGGUAGCGGUAGCAGCAGUAUAGCACCAGCAGCAGCACCACCAGUGAAAUCGUGCGCGUCUUCCUACGUUUCGAGUGUUUCAGUUCGAUCCUCUUCCUCUUCCUCUUUUUCUCAUUCGUUCUCUCUCUCUCUCUCUCUCUCUCUCUUUCUCUCUCUCUCUCUCUCUCUCUCUCUCUCUCUUUCUCUCUCUCUGCCACGAGAGUGCUUGCCAAAAGCAAAAUUCUCUUUUCGGUUUGUUCUUUCGUGUCUGCUCAAUAGUGUAGUCAACCAGGUGUAUCGUAGCAAUAAGUGUUUCAUACUCGACAUGCUAUACGGUUGUUCUUAUAAGUGCUCCGACACUACGAGGACGACAAGGACGACGAGGAGGACGAAGACGACGAUAACGAGGAGAAGGAGGAUAAGGACGGUAAGGAGGACAAGCAGCAGGAGAAACGGAGAUUUCUCGUCGAAGAGGCUCGUCGUAGGAAGAAGGAGCGUGGGAGCUGAGAGCGCGCUUCGUCGCUGCUGAGAAAGUCCUCCUCCUUCUCCUCCUCGUCGCUUACAAGAGAUAAAGAGGAAGACAGGCAGACAGACAGACAGACAGAGAGACAGAGAGAGAGAGAGAAAGAGGAAAACCAAAGAAGAAGAAGAAGAAAAAGAAGAGUCGCGGUGGAGACGGCGAAUGCGAGCGAAACGUCGCAAGCAGCCCGGCUUGAGCUGGCAUGAACGCCGAGGGAAACGACAACGGGUACGAGGACAACGUCAAUGUAAACGACAACAAAAGAAACAACAACAAAAGGAAGAACAAAAACAACAGUGGGAACAAGAAAAACAAGAUAAAGGAGAACGAAAAGAGCGGCUACCGUGAGGCUUGCGGCGAUGCUCAUAGACGUUACCUGACGAGCGCACUCGUGCGUACGAGCAAGUCGCGAUUUUCGUUAUCGACGCUCGAUCCCUCUUCUGUUCUGAGCGUCGCUGGUAUCACCGACGAUCAUCGUCAUCGACCUCACGGCGAACAACCCCACGCUCCUGCGCGCCGUUUUCGCGUCCUCUUACAUUCUUGUUAAGAUAUCGUCUUAUUUCGCUCGAUCAAGGAAUACUACAGCAGCAUCAACAGCUGUUUGAAGGGACAUUGGCUUCUCAUCCAAACAGAUUACGAUGAACAAGAAACCAUCGUACUGGGGUAGAGGGUGUCUCGCGUGACACACGUCCUUCCUCGGUUCUUUUUCACCAGGAGACGGAGUGUCCGGGUCUCGUUCGGCCACGCUUCGUCUCCUCUCCUUCUUCUUCCUUCUCUUCUUUUUCUUCUUCUACAUCUACUUCUAUUUCUACUUCUAUUUCUAUUUUUAGUUCUAUUUCUACUACUCUUCGAGCAUUGUCGUUAUCUUAAUCUUUUCCUUUUCCUUUCCUACCUUUUCAUCGUCACCGUCAAUUUCAACUGCCUUUCCUUUUUUCUCAUCUCUCUCUCUCUCUCUCUCUCUCUCUCUCUCUCUCUCUCUCUCUCUCUCUCUCUCUCUCUUGUUUUGCUCGUUACGUUUGAAGCUACCCUUACGACGAGGACACGCGUACCAGGGAGGCACGAUAGUAUGACGGUGAUGCUGCUGCAACGUUCGGUCACCCCGCAGUCGACGCAUCGCCAAAAGACAGCGAAGAAGGACUGCAGCGCGAAGCCGCCCUUUAUCUUCCUGCUGGACGAUCGUCAGGAGCAUAGGCGAUCUAUAGACGCCUCCAUCAUCACGACCACUAACAAUAAUAAUAACAACAACAAUAACAACAAUAACAACAACAUCAUCAAUAACUUUAACAACAAUUACGAGAACAAUUACACUCCCACGACCAAUAAUAAUAACAACAAUAACAACAUCAACAACAACAACAACAACAAUAACAACAACAACAAUUACGAGAGUGGGAACAAAAACAAUAUCGUGAAAAGGAGUGUCCGUAGGAGCAGCGGAAGCCGCGAGUACGCCGUCGAGGAGGCGCCGGCUUCGGUGACGUCUCAGAGACGCACCGCCGGUGGCCAGGACGUCGCGAUGCGAUAUUAUCGGAUCUGGAUCUACGCCUGUAACGGGGUGCUCUUCUUCAGCGCGGCUGCAUUCGCCGCGGUCGUAUCAAUGUCCAUUAUAUUCACCGGCGAUCCCAGAAGGCACGUAAUACCUGGAGUCCCAAGAGCCUUCGAUCCGACGGCCCUAUAUGCUUACCUAGCUUUGGGUACUCAAUUGGGACUCGUUCAAUUACUUGGUUGCGUUGCCGUAAGAAGACUCAGCGCCAAAUUACUCAACGUUUAUUGGGUUCUACUCUUGGUCCUACUCUUCGGAGACAUCGUUAUCGGUAUCGUUUGGGUCGUCCGUUCCGAGGGAAUGAACGCCCAACUCAGGCCCAUGCUGAGGCUACGAUUACAGACGGAGUACGGUAAGGAGCCACGAUUCAGCGAGCAUUGGGAUCGACUGCAGAAGGAAUUCACGUGUUGCGGUGUAACAGGGCCGCGUGAUUUCGGAUCCCGUUGGCCGCAGACAUGUUGCGGGCCCAUCAUGAAUGUCAGCGACACCUGCCAGCAACCAUACUCACGAGGAUGCGACGAAUCCUUGCUACGCUGGUUAAGAGAAACUUCCGAUCGCCUAUUUGUAUUUGGCUUUUGUGUCGUGGCCUUCACAAAACUCUGUUUCCUCGGUAUUCUACGAUACGAGAUACGUGAGAUGAUACAAAAGAUACGGAUGCUGCGCGAACCACCCCCACCGGCGACAACCUUUGCCCAGCCGCCAUUUUCCCAAGUGAUGUCGGAAGCCACUACCAAUAAUGGCAGCAUCGUUCGACGAACCACUCUGCCUAACGCCGUUACUCCUUCCGGAAAUGCAUCGUUGCUCUUGCAAACGGAAGAAUGCAAUACAGGCCGACAUCCUCUCUUAGCGAACAAUCUUCAAGAUGGUGGAGCUGAUAGCGACACGAACAGUCACUGUGCUUUGAUCUUAGAAGAGACAACGCCAACGUCGGCUAAUCACAAUUGCGGUACACGCGAGAAGAGCAACGGUAACAAUAAUUACGAGAUGCGGGAGUUUAAUAGAAGAUUAUUACUCUCGAACGGCGGUAGCCCAGGUACGCAAGGUGUCACCGCAGGUGGACAAAGCAGGCGUACCUGACUAUGGAAGUGGUGGCGAAACACCUGGAACCAUCUUCUCUACAGGAGCAACCGGCCCGCCGAAGUACCAGUAUAUAAAUAAGCCUACGAUCUUUAAAAUUGAAGGAACGAGAAGACAGGAAAGGGGAGGAGAGGAGAGGAGAGGAGAGGAGAGGAGAGGAGAAGAGAAAAGAAGAGAAGAGAAAGACGAAGGAGAACUGCGAGGAUUUGUACUGUAAAGAGCGACUCGAUCGUUCGUUUAGCUCGCCCGGAGUAGAAGAAGCCCUUCUUUCAGUUUCAAAAAUAGCCACAACGAGAAACGAGAGAGAAAGAACGUAAUGCAUACAUACGUACAUACAUACAUACAUAGAUAGAUACAUAGAUACAUACGUACGUACUUACUUACAUGCGUAUUUGUGUACACUAAAUGCACGUAUGCAAUUUUACCGUGGACAAAAACGAGAUAUAAUAGGAUGCUUCUUGCUUCCUCCAGAAUAAUAAUAGAAAAUCAAGCAUUUUUCAUUUAGGAACAAAUUUUCUUUUCUAUUAUUUAAUAAUAUCCAGAGAAAAUUCGAAAUGAUCAAUAAGAUCAUGUAGAAUGUAUAAAUAGUUUGGAAUAAAUUUAUAUAAGGGCAAGAUAAGUUUAAAGAAAUUAGAAGAGAAACGUUUUUAAAGCGUUCUAAUUGUGGCUUUGCCUUCGCAAUGUUAUACUAAAUUUAUCUCUUAAGUUUGCUUUUUCUUCUUAAGCUUGCCGAAGAAGACAAGACGAAACGAGACGAGACGAGACGAGAAGAGACAGUGACAAGAUACGUCUCUUGUAUUCUUAUUUACGACGUACAUAUACACACACACACACACAUAUAUAUAUAUAUAUGUGUGUACGUGAUGUGUGUGUGUGUGUGUGUGUGUGUGUAUGUAUGUAUGUAUGUAUAUGUAUCUCCUACGAUAAAUAUGUAUGCGUUAAAAACUCGCACCUCUUUGUUAAGAGACCCAAGAGAUUAUCACGAUCGAGCCGAUGCCAUGCUAUUAAUGAUAUCCAAUGACAAAAAAAAAAGGAAGAAAAAAAAAAUAAAAUGAAAAAAGAAAA